UCGAGAACGGCGUGGUGGUUCGUUUCGUCUCCAGCAAGGCUUAGCAGCAGGGCGUCGUUGAUUCCGCCUUCGUUCAGGCACAGCCGCAGGAAAUUUGUCUCGACAUCCCCAAAAGUCUAUAAGGAUCGUGAAACGAAUGAGUCGUAAUAAGCCUCGUGAUAGAUGGAGUCGUUCCUCCCCGGCAGAUGUUGGAACAUCUUCUCACGGAUUUUCCCGCUAUCCACGUCUGAAGGGUAGAACUUGCGCAGCUAAGCCAAGUUUAGAUCUUGCUGGAGAUACACACAGACGCACACACAAAUGUUAGUUGCCAAACAAUUGUUCCCCCCAACAAACAAAAAUAAAAUGACUUUUCCUUAUUAGUUCUUUUUUUGACAGGUGGGCCAAUCUUGAUAGCGGCUGAUUCAAAUGGAUGAAUCUUGUACACGCCGCCCGCGUGUUAUCCAUUAAGUCGGAUCGAAAAUCGAUGGAUAGUGGUUUUCUUUUGUUUAUCUCUCGUCCGUUUCUAUGCCUACGGUUCUUUAUGUUUUUACCUACUAUCCAAAAGUUGAGGAAUGAUGUUGAUUGGAGGUCCGGCACAAUAGUUCAGACACACAGCUAGGCGGAUAU